GGGAGGGAGGUCUGAGUGAGCCCUGAGUCCCCCUGCCCCCCAAUGCCCCCCUCCCCACUCCUCCCCGCCCCAAGGGGAGCCUGUUACACCCCGGCUCCUCCGCCCCCAAGUUCCCCUUCGUUCAAGCUCUGCCCUUGGGACACAGAACCAACCUCCCACUCAGGGACGCUGCAAAGGGGCCCCGAGAUGAGCCAGAGAGUCUGACCCUCUGCUAUUACUAUUACGGGCUCAAUCAACAAACAGGAACAAAAGAGAGGCCUGCAUGGAAUCGUGGCCUCCGGCUACGCGUGACGGGGGUGUGGAAUGACAUACACAAGAGCAGAACCCAGGAGAGAAUUUAUACAGCGGCUGGAGCAGCAGGAAGGAUGAUGGGCAGUGACCUCAGAACUCCCAUCCCGGCUCUGAAAGUCAGAGCCCCCCUCCUCUGGGCUCCGGGUGGGCCGAUACCUGGCCGACACCCCUUCAGUUAAGCUUAUUGGUGAUGCAGGAGGGUGUCCACGGGGGACUGGGAGGGCUGCGGGAAGGGGAAGCCGCGAGAGUACAAGCCACAUUUUAAAAACGCAGAGGGAAAUGCAAGCAGGGCAACUUUGUUACUGCCGGGUUAAAUGUGUGGUUUGCUUUUAAAAAACAAACACAGUCCCUGUAUUUUACUGGGGCCCGGAAGCUCAGGGGUGGGCUGCCCGAGGUCUCACAGGUAGCGACAAAGCCGGGAGUCAAACCCUGAGUUACAGAUCCAGCCUUCUUCCUACCGGGCCAUGCUUGGGCUUGGAGUCCCACGUCAGAGGAUCGGGGCUCAAAUCCCACUAUUUACUACUUAUCUGACUGAGAAUAAGUACCUUGCCUCAGUUUCCUCAUCUGGAAAACGAGGGAAGGGAUGAGACAAAGUGUCCUGGGAGGCUCCGGGCUCUCCACCCAGGAUCCAAGCUGAUCCUCAGCUUGUUUUUACUAGAGUCCGGUCCUCCAACAGUCUGAGGGACAGUGAACUGGCCCCUAUUUAAAAAGUUUGAGGAGCCCUGUAAUCUAAGCCCCUCAGCUUGGCUGUUUCCAGCCCCCUGGCCACACCUGCAGCUUUCCUUCGGCUCAGGCUGCUCCUCGUCAUCUGGCUUCCAGCCUUUAGGAAGUUUUCUCCAAACCAGGAAAACAUUCUUCUCUCGCCUCCCACCUCCUCUGGGGGACACUCCCUCCCUCCCCUGGUUGGAAGCUGGGAGGAGAUCCUACCCACUGGCAAAAGUGGGGAUUAUUUCAUUCUUUCUAUUUAUGUCCCCAGCACAAGAGCAUCAUCGUGAGAACUUUAAAAAAUACCCAAUGAUCCACUCAAGUGCCUCCUCCGUGACUCCACCAGCGACUCUUAGAGGUAGCCGGGGGUACAAAGGAUAGAGUGCCGGGAAGACACCCAGCUUCAGACUCAUACCAAUUGUGUGCCAUCAGGCGAGUUAAUUUCCUCAACUGUAAAACGCAUGACACAGUCUCAGCUGGGCUCCCCCUGCCACCAGGCCCUUACAGUCUGGCUUCGCUCUCUCCAAACCCACGGAUUCGUUGCCAAAUUGGUCGCCCGCCCCGAGCCUCCCCCCACUCCUCACUCGGUCACCAAAGAGCUUUUCCUAAGACUCAAGUCUGAGCACAUCACACACGUCUGUCCCCCUUUAGUCGAUAAACUCCAGAAUUAAACAGAAACGCGUCCAAACCUGCGCCCUCCUACCUCUUCCAUCCUCUCACCCCUCGUUCCCUAACAAAACGCAGGCUCCCCAGAUGGGCCUUGAACAAGACUCUCUUGGCUCUGGGCAUUUUCUCUGGCUGCCCCCCACGCCCGAACUCUCUCCUUCCUCCCCUGUGGCUUCUUUUAAGUCCCAAUGAACAUGUCCCCAUCUACAAGAAGCCCUCCCUCAUCCCUCUUUAUCCCAGUGCCUCGCGUCUUUAACUGUUUCCCAUGGAUCCCCUACAUAGUUUGCUUUGCAUUUAUUUGGUGAUUUCUCGUGCUCCCCAUUCGAUUUUCAGUUCCCUGGGGGUAGGAACUGUCUCUCGCCUCUUUCUGAACUCUUAGAGCUUAGCGGCGACUGGUACAUAUCGGAUGCUUAUAAAUGGUGCUUGAUAACAACGGCCCCUCCCCGGCACGGCCAUUAUGAGAAUGGAAUAAAAUACUAUUUGUGAACA